GGAGAGGUCGCAUAGUUGGCCUAGUGCGCGCGCUUGGAAAGCGCGUAUACCGAAAGGUAUCGAGGGUUCGAAUCCCUCCCUCUCCGCCA
rnacentral:tRNA from 1 species